rnacentral:rRNA from 1 species
UUGAAAGGGAAACGAUUGAAGUCAGUCGUACCAGCGGGAAAUCAACCUUUCGAGUGGGGGUUUUGGAGUUUUUUGAAGAGUGUCAAAACUUUGAGAUUUCAAAAUAUUCGCUCUUUUGGUGUACUUUCUCGUGGGUAGGUUAACAUCGAUUUUGAUCAUCAUAAAAAGAUUGGAGGAAUGUAGCUUCGAUCUUGUAUUGAAGUGUUAUAGCCUUUGGUAAAUGUGAUGAUUAGGAUCGAGGAUUGCAACGAAUACCCUUUUGGGCUAUCAGCCUGAUCUCUGAUACGUGGCCUUGGUAUCGAAAGCGUGCUUAUGGUAUUGAGGUAUUACGGUCAAAAGGUUAGAACGGAUUACAUUCGUUAAGGAUGUUGACGUA